GGCCAGACUCCUACGGGAGGCAGCAGUGGGGAAUAUUGCACAAUGGGCGAAAGCCUGAUGCAGCAACGCCGCGUGAAGGAAGAAGGGUUUCGGCUCGUAAACUUCUAUCAACAGGGACGAAAGAAAUGACGGUACCUGAAUAAGAAGCCCCGGCUAACUACGUGCCAGCAGCCGCGGUAAUACGUAGGGGGCAAGCGUUAUCCGGAUUUACUGGGUGUAAAGGGAGCGUAGACGGCAGUGCAAGUCUGGAGUGAAAGGCGGGGGCUCAACCCCCGGACUGCUCUGGAAACUGUACGGCUGGAGUGCAGGAGAGGUAAGCGGAAUUCCUAGUGUAGCGGUGAAAUGCGUAGAUAUUAGGAAGAACACCAGUGGCGAAGGCGGCUUUCUGGACUGAAACUGACGCUGAGGCACGAAAGCGUGGGGAGCGAACAGGAUUAGAUACCCCAGUAA
rnacentral:rRNA from 1 species